UAAUACGUGAGUAUCCUGCCCUUGACUCUGGGAUAAGCCUGGGAAACUGGGUCUAAUACUGGAUACGACAUGUUACCGCAUGGUGGUGUGUGGAAAGGGUUUUACUGGUUUUGGAUGGGCUCACGGCCUAUCAGCUUGUUGGUGGGGUAAUGGCUCACCAAGGCGACGACGGGUAGCCGGCCUGAGAGGGUGACCGGCCACACUGGGACUGAAACACGGCCCAGACUCCUACGGGAGGCAGCAGUGGGGAAUAUUGCACAAUGGGCGGAAGCCUGAUGCAGCGACGCCGCGUGAGGGAUGACGGCCUUCGGGUUGUAAACCUCUUUCAGCACGGAAGAAGCGAAAGUGACGGUACGUGCAGAAGAAGCGCCGGCUAACUACGUGCCAGCAGCCGCGGUAAUACGUACGGCGCAAGCGUUGUCCGGAAUUAUUGGGCGUAAAGAGCUCGUAGGCGGUUUGUCGCGUCUGCUGUGAAAGCCCGGGGCUUAACCCCGGGUGUGCAGUGGGUACGGGCAGACUUGAGUGCAGUAGGGGAGACUGGAAUUCCUGGUGUAGCGGUGAAAUGCGCAGAUAUCAGGAGGAACACCGAUGGCGAANGCAGGUCUCUGGGCUGUUACUGACGCUGAGGAGCGAAAGCAUGGGGAGCGAACAGGAUUAGAUACCCUGGUAGUCCAUGCCGUAAACGUUGGGCACUACGUGUGGGGAACAUUCCACGUUUUCCGCGCCGUAUCUAACGCAUUAAGUGCCCCCGCCUGGGGAGUACUGCCGCAAAGCUAAA
rnacentral:rRNA from 1 species